rnacentral:lncRNA from 10 species
CUCAACCUCUUUCUCCUUUCAAUCUUGGCACCACACUUCAACCUCUCCUUUCUCUUAAUUUCAAUUCCUUUCAUUUUCUGGUAGAGACAAAGGAGACACGUUUUAUCCCUGGACCCAAAACUCCAGCGCCGGUCACGGACUGGGGAAGGCAGCCUUCCCUUGGUGUUUAAUCAUUACAGGGACACCUCUCUGAUUAUUCACCCAGGUUUCAGUGGUGUCAGACCACGCAGGGACGCCUGCCUUGGUUCUUCACCAUUAGCAUCAAGUCCUGCUUUUCUGGGGAAGAGGUCUUGGGUCUUGGACAAGUCACAACUGUGUUACCUUCAAUGAAAACAGCAGACAAAUCUUAUUUGUAAUAUUUUUUGUGAUUCUCAGAAUUUGCCAAGGAUCAAUGGAAGCAUUUGCCUCUUGUCACAUUCAGGCCACUGAACAGGUGGCCUGAACAGCUUGGGCUACUGAAGUGGCAUUGAACUCAGAGCCAAGAUAUCUGAACAUUGCCGAAGAAAAAUACUGCAAAGAAAAUGAGAUAAAAGUGUAGGUGAUCGAGAGCAGGACUGAGAAGUGUAGGAAAGAUAUUAAAAGAAAGAUUGUGGGCAGGGCACAGUGGCUCAUGCCUGUAAUCUCAGCACCUGGGGAGGCCGAAGCAGGCAGAUCACUUGAGGUCAGGAGUUCAAGACCACCCCGGCCAACAUGGUGAAACCCCAUCACUACUAAAAAUACAAAAAUUAGCUGGGCGUCGUGGUGGACACCUGUAAUCCCAGCUACUCAGGAGGCUGAGGCAGGAGAAUCACUUGAACCUGGGAGGUGGAGGCUGCAGUGAGCCGAGAUCAUGCCACUGCACUCCAGCCUGGGUGACAAAGCAAGACUCUGCCUCAAAAAAAAAAAAAAAGAAAUAUAGUGGUUGUUGGUGGUGUCUUUAAACUUGCUUUGUUUUCCCCUGAGAAUCUGAAUUCCUUAAAAUAGCUAAAAGAAUGUCUCCAGUCUAACAAGGGAAUUAUUGAAAACAUUAUUCACAUACCAUAUUUCUAAGAAAUUAAUUUUCAUGCAAAUCUAUUUGAUCUGCUGAAGUUUUCAGUUCCUUGACAUAGACCUAAUUUUUUUCUGACACAGCAAAAUAGCAUCUUCAUUUGGUCUCUGUACAUGAUAGACUUCCUAACUUAGCUAAACAAAUGCGUGUUCUCUAGAACUAGCCUCCAAUGAACAUAAUCAAAAUUGCAUAAAGAAUAGAUUUUCAAUGUUUUCACCACAAAAAAGAUAAGUUGCUGAGGUGAUGGAUAUAAAUUACUUAGUUUGACUAAAUCUCUCUACAAUACAUAAAUAGAUCAAAACAUCACAUUGUAUUCUAUAAAUAUAUGCAAUUAUUAUUGGUCAAUUAAAAAUAAAUUUGUAAAAAAUCUUGAAUAGAAUGUAAGCAGAGAAAAGAAAGAAAUCCUUUCCUGAAUCAAAAAUGUCAGUUUCCAAAUGUGUGAAUCAUUAAUACUGAAUAAGAAGCACAGUACUAUCUCAUUUCAGCCAUUUCUUCUUUCUCUAUCUCACUUCUUUACUUAAAAAAUUAAAAUGGGCUUCCUAACCUUUCCCAUUAUACCCCUCAAUAUUAACAGUAAUUUUAGCUUAUUUGAUAUUUUUCUUAAAAAUACAACUAUUUGAACAGUAUUGCGUUAUUUAAGACAAGUAAAAUUCCAAAUAUUUUCAAGACAAAAUAACAAGCUGUAUUGCAGCAGGUUUUCAAGUAGAAUAAUAAAGUUUACGUGCAAGAAAAAUAAAACUUUUGGCUUGGUUUGUAAAUAUGUGUCAAACUAAUGUAUUCUUGCCCACAAUAUUUCCUAUAAUAUCCCAUUCUGUUGGGCUUAACUCAAAGUUAUUCAUCUGUUUUUAAAACUUAGAUUCUCCCACGCAUUGGAAAUUGUUAGAGAUGUAUUAUGGGGAGCUUUGGGCAGAGGUCCCAGGAAUACCCACACUCAUCCUAGCCCAGCUACUCUUCCGAUGAGAUCCUAUGGUAAGUAGGUAAGCAGGGAGGAAUGGAGCCAGCAAAAUAUCUUUCCUAGUGGACCCUGGGGCGUAAACCUCAAAGAAGAGUAUUAAUGAGAGAGGCAAUAGACAAUCAUCAGUUGCCUUUGUCUGACAGCUACCUAUGGCCUCAAAAUAAGGAAAUUGGAGAGGCCUAUUCUUGCCUUCCUACCAAGCCCACACUUGCAACUUGCCUGUAGACACAGUGGGAGGACGAAACCUCAGUGCAGAGCAUGCCAGCCUCCGCAAGGAGGAAGAGAGUAGUGGGAGCAAUGAGAGAGGCUGCCUCCAGUGUCCGGAGAUGCCCACCCAGAGCUAUUCAAAUCUACCCAGUCCAGGUUGGUCUAACCCAGAAGAUCUGAAAGCCCCAUAAAACACUGAAGAAGGGAGCUGAGGAAGAAGCAAGAUUUCUCCUUCCUCUAUCCUAGGAGCAAAAAUAUAGCCACAGGAAACGAAGAGUGGAAGAAACAGAUUGGCCUUCUCCCAACUCUGGUGGAAGAGACACAGAAAGAAGUGUGACUACAGUGGGCGUUAGUCCCAAUACUGUGUCUUCACCAUAGACACCACCUUAAAAAAAUGUGGCCCAAUUAAUAUCCUAGAC